GUUAAUUCGGGGAGAGGAGGGGAGUGAAGACAGAGGGUUGAGUCUUUAAUCGGAAUGAGUGGGCUUAGAGCGCUCGUAGGUGGUUUGUUAAGUUGGAUGUGAAAGCCCCGGGCGCAACCUGGGAACUGCAUUCAAAACUGACUGACUAGAGUAUGGUAGAGGGUGGUGGAAUUUCCUGUGUAGCGGUGAAAUGCGUAGAGAUCUGGAGGAAUACCGGUGGCGAAGGCGGCCCCCUGGACAAAGACUGACGCUCAUGCACGAAAGCGUGGGGAGCAAACAGGAUUAGAUACCCCGGUAGUC
rnacentral:rRNA from 1 species